rnacentral:lncRNA from 1 species
CAGGGACAGAUCCCAGGUCUAAACCCUAGCCAAAACCCCUUGUGUUAGAGGAGCUCACCCUUUACUGCUGAUGAAAUCUCCAUGAUGAAGUGCUUUCCUGGUGACACCCAGAGAUCGUUUGCUAUGUGAAUGCUUUUCUUGCUCAAAUUUCAACAAACAUGAUUGCCAAAAAAGAAAAAAAAAAGAAGAGAAAAGAGAACAGAAAAGAAGAAAAGAAAAGAAAGAAAGGAGAAGAGAGAGAAAGAGAGAAGAGAAGAGAAGAGAAAAGAAGAAAAGAAAAGAAAAGACCAGACCAGACCCAUAGAAUCCUAUGGGAUCUGCUGACAUGUUUGUCUGAACUUCGUCUUCCAUAUCACUGUCAAGAUAGUUUUUCUAACUCACCACUCCAAAAUCUAUGAAAAGCCUCCAUAAGCCCCUAGUUGCCCUCCAAAUUAUAACUGCAUUUGGUUCACACUUUUCCCUCCUCCUGAAGUGACUUUCCUUCUUAUUCCGCUUUUAAAAACUUUAUCACCUGCAAAAUUCACUUCAAAAAGAGCUCCCUCCAUGAAGGUUUAAUUACUCUCUUGGCCCUAAAGGAAUGACAUCUCCUGUUUGGCCUGUUCACAUUGCUGCACUGCACUGGUAACUCUUCAACGAAACCCAUUUUUACUCUUACCUCUUAUUGUUACUUAUGUACAGGUCUUAUUGCCUCUCUCAACCUCAACUAAACUAUUUAAGAGAAGUGUACUCAUCUGUUUAUUUCCUGCUGAGUCUAGUCCAAUCUCUUAUAAUUUUUAGACCAUUAAA